UCGAGUUUAAAAAGCCAUAGACUGGAGGCUGUAGCUGGUCACAUUUAUGUGGCAUUGUGCACGUCUCUGUCUAAUGGAAUUUCCACCUGUGCACGUAUUGUAGGCACGUUGAAGUGCCUAUGUUUUUGUAAUUUAAAACAUGUGCGAAAGUGUAAAGAAUGAAGUGUGUUAUAUUAAAUA
rnacentral:misc_RNA from 1 species